AAGCCAGAGAAGCACUGCUACAAAGGAUUGGAUUUUCUUCAGUGGAAAGGAGAAUUUCUAUUUAAGGAGUUUCUAAAUCAGUAAGAAAGGACAAGACAAUGGAUCAAGUAACACUGGACUGAAACGUCUAAAACUGUGAGAAGUCAAACUUUCCUCUCAAGGUUUUUUUUUUUUUUUAAAUCUUAGGUGUUUUAGCAAUGUGAUGAAAACUGGGCUAAAACAUUAGUAUCAUCUUUAAAUAAAUGUGGAAUUAUUUUU